ACGGAAGGCAGCAGUGGGGAAUAUUGGACAAUGGGGGAAACACUGAUCCAGCGACGCCGCGUGAGUGAAGAAGUAUUUCGGUAUGUAAAGCUCUAUCAGCAAGGAAGAAAAUGACGGUACUUGACUAAGAAGCUCCGGCUAAAUACGUGCCAGCAGCCGCGGUAAUACGUAUGGAGCAAGCGUUAUCCGGAUUUACUGGGUGUAAAGGGAGCGUAGACGGCAAAGCAAGUCUGAAGUGAAAUCCCGGGGCUCAACCCCGGAACUGCUUUGGAAACUGUUUAGCUAGAGUGCAGGAGAGGUAAGCGGAAUUCCUAGUGUAGCGGUGAAAUGCGUAGAUAUUAGGAGGAACACCAGUGGCGAAGGCGGCUUACUGGACUGUAACUGACGUUGAGGCUCGAAAGCGUGGGGAGCAAACAGGAUUAGAUACCCUGGUA
rnacentral:rRNA from 1 species